rnacentral:rRNA from 1 species
AGUGAACGCUGGCGGUAGGCCUAACACAUGCAAGUCGAACGGCAGCACAGUAAGUGCUUGCUCUUACGGGUGGCGAGUGGCGGACGGGUGACGAAUACAUCCGAAUCUACUUUUUCGUGGGGGAUAACGUAGGGAAACUUACCCUAAUACCUCAUACCACCCUCGGGUGAAAGUAUUGGAUCUUCGGACCUUUCGCGAUUGAAUGAGCCGAUGUCGGAUUAGAUAGUUGGCGGGGUAAUGGCCCACCAAGGCGACGAUCCGUAGCUGGUCUGAGAGGAUGAUCAGCCGCACUGGAGCGAGGACAGGGACCAAACUACUAGGGGAGGCAGCAGUGGGAAAUAUUGGACAGUAGGCGGGAGCAUGAUCCAGACAAACCGCGUAGGUGAAAAAAGCCAUCGGGUUGUGAAGCCCUUUUGUUGGGAGAGAAAAGCAGUCGGUUAAUACCGAGCUGUUCUGACGGUAACCAAAGAAUAAGCACCGGCUAACUUCGUG